rnacentral:rRNA from 1 species
UACGGAGGGUGCAAGCGUUAUCCGGAUUCACUGGGUUUAAAGGGUGCGUAGGUGGGCUAGUAAGUCAGUGGUGAAAUCUCCGGGCUUAACCCGGAAACUGCCAUUGAUACUAUUAGUCUUGAAUACCAUGGAGGUGAGCGGAAUAUGUCAUGUAGCGGUGAAAUGCUUAGAUAUGACAUGGAACACCAAUUGCGAAGGCAGCUCGCUACGCGGUUAUUGACACUGAGGCACGAAAGCGUGGGGAUCAAACAGG